GCCUGGGUGGCUCAGUCGGUUGAGCGUCCGACUUCGGCUCAGGUCACGAUCUCACGGUCCGUGAGUUCGAGCCCCACGUCGGGCU
rfam:Felis catus isolate Cinnamon breed Abyssinian chromosome A2, whole genome shotgun sequence.